CUCAUCCAUUAGCUUCUCCUAAUUCCCUGGUUCAUCGUGCAAGAGAGAGCUCUCCAUAGUCAUUGUCGCAGAACACAUCCCGAUACAAUCUCCCAUGUUCUUUGGAUCUGGAAUGAAUGAAGAUGCUGCUGCGCUCUUCGGUCAGAUCUUUCCGCUGGCUGCGUCCUCAAAGAAGCCCACCGCAAAGGGUUGUGAGGAACGGGCUCUACACGCAACCUUUUCUACGAUCUUAAAAAAAUGGGAUUUUAAUCAUUUUGAAAAUUAACUAGUUGUAUGUUUUCAAUCCGAAAAAUGAUGACUCCGACAUCGAAUUACAACAUCAAAGCGGCACAAGAAGAAACUAUCAGGGACGAAGAAGAAUGACGCAGUUGUCCAUCGAUUGGAGUAUGAUUGGAAGGAAAAGAUUAAGGAAUACAUAGAUGACGAUGAUGAUCUCUUUCAGAUUAGAAUUGAGAAAGCAGGGUUCAUCUGCUGCUGAUGAUCAUUGUCAUCACAGACACGGGAAGGAUAGAAAGACAAUAAAACAAUAUUAAAAAGAGUAAAAAAAUGAAAAACAUUAAUUAUUAAAAGCUCAACUAGGCAUAAAGGCCUAAAUGAUA